rnacentral:rRNA from 1 species
CUAUUAAACUAGCUUUUCCCUGCCGUACGACUCCACACGUUUUCUGUCAAACGACUACCUGUCAAACGACUUCCUCAUGAAUUGGUUCGUACGACUCCAGGGCCAACCAUAUGACGGUCGUCGGAACGGCCAGGUUCGUUAGUUCUAGUAGUCGUUCAGUUAUUGCCUCUGCCAGCUCGUGACAGUAGUGUGAUUUGGACGUUGUGGUCACUCUACUGACUUCUAACCCAACACCAACCUCACUCUCCUCUUCGUUUAGUGAACUGGUCAACUUAGGAACCCACAUGUUCUGCCGGCUCGACACCGUCCACUUCCUCGGCGACGGCGACGGGCGCGGCUUCUUCGCGUUGACGAGGUACCACAAGUGGGAGUUGCUCUACCUCCUCCGGUGGCCGUACAAGUCGCUGUUCUUGGAGUAUCCGUUCCCGCCGAAGCCGGCACAAAUGUCCCCGCACGAGUUUCUACCCGUCUAAGAGAACUAACCUCACCUCUCCUCGUCUCUGCUCUCCUAGUCGUCUUCACCUGUCGCGUCGCCGACUGGAACUCGAGAACUAACCUCACCCCCCUCCGCCGGCCGCUUCCUAGACACCGGUUGUUGCUUCCUAGGCUUCAACAGCACCUCGUCCGUCGGCCGCCCUUCCCGCCAGCCGCUCCCUCGACGCCUAGAACCGCGCCUUCCCGUCGGAUACUCCCUCGACGCCUGGUACCGCCCCUUCCCGCCGGCCGGCCGUUCCCUCGACGCCUGGCGCCGCCCCUUCCUGCGGCCUCUACGCCUGCUGCCUCCUCGGGCCACUUUCCCUCGUCGCUGCCGCUUCUUCGGACCGCCUCCCCUCCUCGCUGCCUCCUUCUGCGGAGGGCUACCUAGUUUAGCCCCCAUCAUAACAUUAAAGUGUGAUAAAGUGGACCAGCCUUUCUACGGGGGUCGCUGUUAAUAAAGCCUUGCCUCCCUCAUUAAAAAAUGUAUUGGAUCUUACAAGAAGACUUGAUAUUAAAAC